UGAGGAAUUUUGCGCAAUGGGGGAAACCCUGACGCAGCGACGCCGCGUGGAGGACGAAGGCCCUCGGGUCGUAAACUCCUGUCAAGAGGGACGAAUGCGUGCGGGAUGAAUAAGUCCGUGCGUUGACGGUACCUCUGGAGGAAGCCCCGGCUAACUCCGUGCCAGCAGCCGCGGUAAUACGGAGGGGGCAAGCGUUGUUCGGAAUUAUUGGGCGUAAAGGGCGCGUAGGCGGUUGGGUAAGUCCGUUGUGAAAUCCCCCGGCUCAACCGGGGAACUGCGACGGAUACUGCACGACUUGAGUCCCGGAGAGGGUAGCGGAAUUCCCAGUGUAGCGGUGAAAUGCGUAGAUAUUGGGAGGAACACCAGUGGCGAAGGCGGCUACCUGGACGGGUACUGACGCUGAGGCGCGAAAGCGUGGGGAGCAAACAGGAUUAGAUACCCCCGUAGUCC
rnacentral:rRNA from 1 species